AGAAUCAACGCUGGCGGCGUGCCUAACACAUGCAAGUCGCACGAGAAAGGGGACUUCGGUCCCUGAGUACAGUGGCGGCACGGGUGAGUAACACGUGAAUCAUCGUACCUUCGAGUGGGGAAUUAACUGAGAGAAAUCUUAGCGUAAUACCGCAUAAUACCUACGGGUCAAAGCAGCAAUGCGCUUGAAGAGGAGUUCGCGGCAGAUUAGUUAGUUGGCGGGGUAAUGGCCCACCAAGACGAUGAUCUGUA
rnacentral:rRNA from 1 species